rnacentral:rRNA from 1 species
UACGGAGGGGGCUAGCGUUAUUCGGAAUUACUGGGCGUAAAGCGCGCGCAGGUGGCGCAAUAAGUGGCUGGUGAAAGCCCUCGGCUCAACCGAGGAACUGCCUGCCAAACUGCUGCGCUUGAGGCCGGGAGGGGGAAGCGGAAUUCCUGGUGUAGCGGUGAUAUGCGUAGAUACCAGGAGGAACACCGGUGGCGAAGGCGGCUUCCUGGACCGGCUCUGACACUCAUGCGCGAAAGCGUCGGGAGCAAACAGG